rnacentral:rRNA from 1 species
GACGAACGCUGGCGGCGUGCUUAACACAUGCAAGUCGAGCGGUAAGGCCCUUUCGGGGGUACACGAGCGGCGAACGGGUGAGUAACACGUGGGUGACCUGCCCUCAGCUCUGGGAUAAGCCCGGGAAACUGGGUCUAAUACUGGAUAUGACUCCAUGACGCAUGUUGUGGGGUGGAAAGCCUUGUGCGGCUGAGGAUGGGCCCGCGGCCUAUCAGCUUGUUGGUGGGGNGAUGGCCUACCAAGGCGACGACGGGUAGCCGGCCUGAGAGGGCGACCGGCCACACUGGGACUGAGACACGGCCCAGACUCCUACGGGAGGCAGCAGUGGGGAAUCUUGCGCAACGGGCGAAAGCCUGACGCAGCGACGCCGCGUGAGGGAUGACGGCCU